GAUGAACGCUAGCGGCAGGCUUAAUACAUGCAAGUCGAGGGGCAUCAAGGUACACGAAAGUGUAUUGUUGGCGACCGGCGGACGAGUGAGUAAUAGGUAGGUAACCUACCUCAUACUGAGGCAUAGCUGGGAGAAAUUCCAGGUAAUUCCUCAUGAGGUUAUAUGACACAUGUGAUAUAAUCAAAGGUAUCGCAAGGUAUUGGUAUGAGAUGGGCUUACUGACCAUUAGCUAGUUGGUGAGAUAAGAGCUCACCAAGGCGAAGAUGGUUAGGGGUUUUGAGAGAGAGAUCCCCCACAUUGGAACUGAGAUACGGUCCAGACUCCUACGGGAGGCAGCAGUAGGGAAUAUUGGGCAAUGGGCGGAAGCCUGACCCAGCCAUGCCGCGUGAAGGAAGACGGCCUUAUGGGUUGUAAACUUCUUUACUAUGCGACUAACUAGAUUUACGAGAUAAUUCUAUAGAAUGUAGCAUAGACAAAAAGCAACC
rnacentral:rRNA from 1 species